CCCUUUGGGAAGACACUGCGGCGGAGCUUUCUACCCGCAGGGUCUGGCCCGGUGGGAUUUGGAGCUCGCUGGGGUCUUUUCAAAACUCCUGGUAACAGCUCCAUAAGACGAGAGGAUGCAUCUUCUGUUCACCAAGGGUGUAACAGGAUGUUUGAUGCCUACUGAGACUUUAAAUAAAUGCUGAAAGACUAAACCUUCCCAAGUUAAAUAUUGAGAUUAAACAUCCCCAUAUUUCAUGUAUUCUGAGAUUCCUUUCUAGUAUGGAUUUCUUGAUGUAAAGGGUUCAUUUAGAGGGUUUGUGAUGCUCAAACCCUGCACGUUCCAAACAAAGGACUGGCCUUUGACUGGCUCCGUGGAGAAAACUUCUAAACCCUUGGAAUAUCCUGCGGGAUAAAAUUGUCUUUCUAUACCCAGGGCCUUUGUGCUCAUGUCACUUUUGCUAACAAUGUGAUUUAUGGUGAAUGCCUGUUUUUGUUAAUCUGAAUUCCUAGCCCAUGCUUUAUCAGUUUGAUCUCUGGAGGGACUGGAGACUGGGUAGCUAAGGUCAGUCCUGUGGGUGUUCCAUGCCUGCAUGACUGAUCCAAGAAGAACCCUAGACAAUAAGGUUUAGACGAGAGUCCCUUGUUUAACGACUAGGUAGUGAUAUCACUUCUCUAAU